rnacentral:rRNA from 1 species
CUUCAAUUCUGGUUGAUCCUGCCAGAGGUUACUGCUAUCGGAGUUCGAUUAAGCCAUGCGAGUCUAAAGGUUUCUUCGGAAACCUUGGCGGACUGCUCAGUAACAUGUGGAUAACCUACCCUUAGGACUGGGAUAACCCCGGGAAACUGGGGAUAAUACCGGAUAGAUCAAGGAUUGCUGGAAUGCGCCUUGAUCCAAAGCUCCGGCGCCUAAGGAUGGGUCUGCGGCCUAUCAGGUUGUAGUGGGUGUAACGU